GGCUGCUUGGUGUAAGGGGAACACGUCCGUAUCUACGCGGGGGUAGGGGGUUCGAGUCCCUCAGCAGCUU